AGGCUGCAGUGAUCAGGCCACAAUGGAAUGUGCUCUUUCGCAGGCUCUAAAGCCUCUGAAAGUCAUGAAAAAAUGGUGCAUGCUUUCAGCCAGUGUUCGCAGGUUCACAAAAGAGCAUUCUCUGAAGCUACUUAAGAACAAAGGCCUCAUAUGACCUGGAGUAGCCUCAUGUAGGCUAUAGGGGGCUGUCAACAGAAAGAGAACACCACCAAGAGAUGUUUUGGGUGACAAGAAUUUCCAACAAACUGCCAUGAGAGUUGUAAUCUAGCACAUCUGAAAGAACACUGGGCAGGAAAGCAGAUUAAUAAGCAUAAUAAUCUAGACUCGAAGCUGGCAAAUCACACAAUCUGGCACAGCCUAAGAAGAAUUCCGUUUUCGGCUAAAAAGGUUGUGUUUUUAAAAAAGAAAAGAAAAGAAGGAAGAGAGAGUAAUAUAAACAUGAUGAUUGAAGAUGACAUGAAAUCCCCAAACACCCAAACAGGUUCAAGUGCUUAAUGAGAAAAUGGAAGAUCCUUGAAGCAGCCAGAUUGGCCAUUUGGCCCCUUGUUGUGAAGGGCACAGAUCAAAGGUCUCGCCCUGGGCCCUUCCAGCAGUAUUUUCUUCUCUGCUGCCCCAAUGACUGCCUCACCUCUCCGAACCAUGCUGACUCCACAGGAGGAGAGUGACUCAGCAGCAUAUCUGAAAGGGAUGGCUGAUUCUGCAACUCACAUUGGAGGUAGAUGUGGACCAGACGUUUCUUUUCAUGGAUCGGCCAAACCAUUUUGUCAAAUAGAGCCUAACUUUUCUCUUUGUAUUUACUAUUUAUUUAAUUCCAAUUUGAGACUUAUUUCUGCAUUGUGCUGUAUUUUCCUCAUUCUCAGCUAGAGUUGUAAUCCAGAACAACUCUCUCUCUUUCUCUCCCUCUCUCUCCC